CUUGAGAGAGGUCAGCGUGAGCCCCUUGCCUCACACCGGCCCCUCCCACGCUGAGAGAGGUCAGUGUGAGCCCUUGCCUCACACCGGCCCCUCCCACGCGGACAGAGGUCAGCGUGAGCCCCUUGCCUCACACCGGCCCCUCCCACGCUGAGAGAGGUCAGUGUGAGCCCUUGCCUCACCCCGGCCCCUCCCACGUGGACAGAGGUCAGCGUGAGCCCCUUGCCUCACACCGGCCCCUCCCACGCGGACAGAGGUCAGCCCGAGCCCCUUGUCUCACACCGGCCCCUCCCAUGCUGAGAGAGGUCAGCGUGCCCCUUGUCUCACACCGGCCCCUCCCACGCUGAGAGAGGUCAGCCCAAGCCCCUUGCCUCACACCGGCCCCUCCCACGCGGACAGAGGUCAGCCCGAGCUCCUUGCCUCACACCGGCCCCUCCCACGCUGAGAGAGGUCAGUGUGAGCCCUUGCCUCACACCGGCCCCUCCCACGCGGACAGAGGUCAGCGUGAGCCCCUUGCCUCACACCGGCCCCUCCCACGCUGAGAGAGGUCAGUGUGAGCCCUUGCCUCACACCGGCCCCUCCCACGCGGACAGAGGUCAGCGUGAGCCCCUUGCCUCACACCGGCCCCUCCCACGCUGAGAGAGGUCAGCCCGAGCCCCUUGCCUCACACCGGCCCCUCCCACGCUGAGAGAGGUCAGCGUGAGCCCCUUGUCUCACACCGGCCCCUCCCACGCUGAGAGAGGUCAGCGUGAGCCCCUUGCCUCACACCGGCCCCUCCCACGCUGAGAGAGGUCAGUGUGAGCCCUUGCCUCACACCGGCCCCUCCCACGCGGACAGAGGUCAGCGUGAGCCCCUUGCCUCACACCGGCCCCUCCCACGCUGAGAGAGGUCGGUGUGAGCCCUUGCCUCACACCGGCCCCUCCCACGCGGACAGAGGUCAGCGUGAGCCCCUUGCCUCACCCCGGCCCCUCCCACGCUGAGAGAGGUCAGUGUGAGCCCUUGCCUCACACCGGCCCCUCCCACGCGGACAGAGGUC
rnacentral:lncRNA from 1 species